rnacentral:rRNA from 2 species
GACCGAUAGUGAACCAGUACCGUGAGGGAAAGGCGAAAAGAACCCCGGCGAGGGGAGUGAAAAAGAACCUGAAACCGUGUACGUACAAGCAGUGGGAGCCCCACCACCAAAGCAUUCUCUGGUGUUGAAGGCCCUGCAAAGCAGCAUCGCGGUGGCGGAGCGUCGUUUGCGACGCCCAACACACAAAACAAGCGGUGAGUGCUUUGGGGUGGGGUGACUGCGUACCUUUUGUAUAAUGGGUCAGCGACUUAUAUUCUGUAGCAAGGUUAACCGUAUAGGGGAGCCGUAGGGAAACCGAGUCUUAACCGGGCGUUAAGUUGCAGGGUAUAGACCCGAAACCCGGUGAUCUAGCCAUGGGCAGGUUGAAGGUUGGGUAACACUAACUGGAGGACCGAACCGACUAAUGUUGAAAAAUUAGCGGAUGACUUGUGGCUGGGGGUGAAAGGCCAAUCAAACCGGGAGAUAGCUGGUUCUCCCCGAAAGCUAUUUAGGUAGCGCCUCGUGAAUUCAUCUUCGGGGGUAGAGCACUGUUUCGGCUAGGGGGUCAUCCCGACUUACCAACCCGAUGCAAACUGCGAAUACCGGAGAAUGUUAUCACGGGAGACACACGGCGGGUGCUAACGUCCGUCGUGAAGAGGGAAACAACCCAGACCGCCAGCUAAGGUCCCAAAGUCAUGGUUAAGUGGGAAACGAUGUGGGAAGGCCCAGACAGCCAGGAUGUUGGCUUAGAAGCAGCCAUCAUUUAAAGAAAGCGUAAUAGCUCACUGGUCGAGUCGGCCUGCGCGGAAGAUGUAACGGGGCUAAACCAUGCACCGAAGCUGCGGCAGCGACACUGUGUGUUGUUGGGUAGGGGAGCGUUCUGUAAGCCUGUGAAGGUGGCCUGUGAGGGUUGCUGGAGGUAUCAGAAGUGCGAAUGCUGACAUAAGUAACGAUAAAGCGGGUGAAAAGCCCGCUCGCCGGAAGACCAAGG